UUCUGACUUGUCUUGAAUCCAGUUUCUUUAUGAUCCUUAAUGUAAGCAGGAUGCAGAUGCCUGGCCUGGAUUGCUUUUGAGCCCAUGCACUAGCCCAUAUUUAGGCAUCUAAACAGUUUUGGAUCAUGCUUUAUGAAUCACGUGCCCCAGCUCUGUCCUCCAAGAUGGAUUUGUUUUUGGGCACUAAUGGCAAUAGCUUGCUGGCAUGCUCAUUUGUGCUGAAGCUGCUUUCAGGUGACCUGAAUCAAGCUUUUCUUACAUGGCUCUUCUCUAAAUUGGAAAUCUGCCCCAGCUGGGCUUCCUCCCACACAGGAAGGAACUGCAGAAAGGGACUCAAUUCUGGCUUUGCCUCCUUUGGAGAGGUUACCUGCUGUCCUUGCAACUGGCAUCAGCUCAAGCAGCUCCUUCUCUGUAUAAGACUGAUAAAACCACUUCCACUUCUUGAGGCAAAAGCAUGACUGAAGUGGAGAGAGGGGAGAACAGUUUCUUAGUUAUCUCACAAGACUUGGCGGGACUAUGACAGGAACCUUGUCCAAGUAAAGCUGAUCUGGCUAUGUUAAAACACACUUCACUGGAGAAACUUGGAACGCCUUACUUUGUUAAAGAUAUCUGUCCCAUGCAGCUGUGUGCCUACAAAAAAUUAUAUGAGGCUGCCAUUUCAGUGUGGUGAUAAAGCAAACGGCUUAGGUUAUGUGGGGAUUAUUAACAAGUGUCUUGAGUAAGCAAUAUUAAAAAAAGCUUGCUUCCUUCUUGCAAUUAUCUUACUAAUAUUUCCCAUUGCUCAUAUUUCAAGAUUUCUUAGUUGUUGAACUACUUAAGGUUAUUAAUACCCACUGCCAUAUAGCUCACUUGACAUAAUAGCAGAAUGGGGCAGCUGAAUUUAUUA